AGACGGGAUUUCUCCAUGUUGGUCAGGCUGGUCUUGAACUCCUGACCUCAGGUGAUCCACCCACCUCGGCCUCCCAAAGUGCUGAGAUUACAGGUGUGAGCCACUGCACUUGGCCAUGCUGGUUGUUUCUGCUGCUUGCUGUAUAGACCUCUGUGAUGACCAUCCUCUUAGUUGACCCUCCUGUGUCUAGGUAGCCCCGCCACCUACCUUCUACCUGGAGCCUUCCUUCCCAGGUCCUUCUUCAACACCAGCUCCAGGAUCUGCAAGACCUUUGGGUAUGGCCUCUGCAGAAGGAAGGAGAACCACUUCCUGGAGAAGCAGGAGUGAGCCAGGAUCUGCUGUGGGAGACAGCCGGGACCCCAGGGCGUGGGGCAAGAGAGCCUGUCACCUGUGCUGCCUUGAGAUGCUGAUGUCUGAGGAUGCCCCAGACAGGGCCUGUGGCUGCCUUCUGAAAUAGUGCAGCACCUUCUCUGCUUCCUCCUCAACCCUCUCCUUCACGGCAGAACUCUGCCUCCUUCCUGUGCCCAUGGGCUUGCUUCAGCACUGUAUUUGAUAAACUGAGCACCACAAGAACACAAACCACAUUCCUUUGUUCUUUCAUCACGUUAUCCCCAGCACUUAGCACAGUGCCUGGCACAAAGGAGGCAGUCUGUAAAUAUUUGUGUAAAGAAUGAAUAAACGAGGGCAUGAGCACAUCGCCUUUGCCCAGGACGGAUGACAGGCUGAGGGUUUGAAUCCAGGACUCUCUGAACCUAGCCCUCAUUCUCACUGCAUCCUCACCUUCAUCCUCUACCCUCCACCCCCUCACUGGGUUCUUUGGGGAUGGCAGGGGUGGAGUUUCUGGCGUCCGGUUCUGAGCAUCAGCGCUGCCAAGCGGUGGUGGCAGGGGGGAUUUCAUGAAAGAAUCCCCCAUGCUCCCUGUGAUAUUGGAUAUUUUUUCUUGUCUGUGUAGGUUCAGGCUUUGUCUCUCUGGCCUUAUACAAUAUUUAAAUACAUUCAUUUUCCAAUUAAACGAA